rnacentral:rRNA from 1 species
GGGGGGCCCUUUCGGGAGGCAGCAGUGGGGAAUAUUGGACAAUGGGCGCAAGCCUGAUCCAGCAAUGCCGCGUGGGUGAAGAAGGUCUUCGGAUCGUAAAGCCCUUUCGGCGGGGACGAUGAUGACGGUACCCGCAGAAGAAGCCCCGGCUAACUUCGUGCCAGCAGCCGCGGUAAUACGAAGGGGGCUAGCGUUACUCGGAAUUACUGGGCGUAAAGGGCGCGUAGGCGGCGUUCCAAGUCAGGCGUGAAAGCCCUGGGCUCAACCUGGGGACUGCGCUUGAUACUGGAGUGCUUGAGGAUGGAAGAGGCUCGUGGAAUUCCCAGUGUAGAGGUGAAAUUCGUAGAUAUUGGGAAGAACACCGGUGGCGAAGGCGGCGAGCUGGUCCAUUUCUGACGCUGAGGCGCGAUAGCGUGGGGAGCAAACAGGAUUAGAUACCCUGGUAGUCCACGCCGUAAACGAUGUGCGCUGGAUGUUGGGUGACCUAGUCACUCAGUGUCGUAGCUAACGCGGUAAGCGCACCGCCUUGAUCACU